rnacentral:rRNA from 1 species
UAUCGCUGGAAGAUGGCCUCGCGUCUGAUUAGCUAGUUGGUAGGGUAACGGCCUACCAAGGCGACGAUCAGUAGCCGGACUGAGAGGUUGGCCGGCCACAUUGGGACUGAGAUACGGCCCAGACUCCUACGGGAGGCAGCAGUGGGGAAUAUUGGGCAAUGGGCGCAAGCCUGACCCAGCAACGCCGCGUGAAGGAAGAAGGCUUUCGGGUUGUAAACUUCUUUUGUCAGGGAACAGUAGAAGAGGGUACCUGACGAAUAAGCUCCGGCUAACUACGUGCCAGCAGCCGCGGUAAUACGUAGGGAGCGAGCGUUGUCCGGAUUUACUGGGUGUAAAGGGCGUGUAGGCGGGAUUACAAGUCAGAUGUGAAAUUCCGGGGCUCAACCCCGGAACUGCAUUUGAAACUGUAGUUCUUGAGUACUGGAGAGGCAGGCGGAAUUCCUAGUGUAGCGGUGAAAUGCGUAGAUAUUAGGAGGAACACCAGUGGCGAAGGCGGCCUGCUGGACAGCAACUGACGCUGAGGCGCGAAAGCGUGGGGAGCAAACAGGAUUAGAUACCCUGGUAGUCCACGCUGUAAACGAUGGAUACUAGGUGUGCGGGGACUGACCCCCUGCGUGCCGCAGU